rnacentral:misc_RNA from 1 species
GAUGAAGAACGUAGUGAAAUGCGAUAAGUAGUGUGAAUUGCAGAAUUCAGUGAAUCAUCGAAUCUUUGAACGCACAUUGCGCCCCCUGGUAUUCCGGGGGGCAUGCCUGUCCGAGCGUCAUUGCAACCUUCAAGCGCGGCUUGUGUGUUGGGUCUCGUCCCCCGUGGACGGGCCCGAAAGGCAGUGGCGGCGUCCCGACAUGGUGCCCGAGCGUAUGGGAAUCCUCUUCCGCUCGAAUCGGCCCAUGCGGCGCUGGUCGUAACCAAAUUUUUUACCGGUUGACCUCGGAUCAGGUAGGGAUACCCGCUGAACUUAAGCAUAUCAUAAGCGGAGGA